AGUAAAUUAUGUUUUGUUUUCUACAUAUAUGUAAGCAAAUUGUAAUAUAAAUAUUAUAUUGCUACAAUUAUAUAGAACAUCUGAUUUGUUUUAUUCAAGAAUACAACAAAAGUAAUUUAUAUGAAACAUGUUUAAUUUGAAAAGCAGAGGAAGUAUCCGCGCAUACGCGGGAAAGUUAAAGUAACAAAUCAUACUGCUUGAUAGCUACAUUUUCCUUCCUUUAUUACCGCUGGAGACUUCCGGUGCAUUGUGUUCGUACAUUAUUCAGUCACAUAUUUAAGAAUUUUAAUAGAAUGUAUUAAUAAGCAGAUAAAGGAAAAAGUUGCAGAUUAUAAUAAAUAUAAAAGUGAUGUAAAAUAUUAAUUUGUUUUUACUUUCUAUAAUGUGCUGAAUAAAACAGGAACUAUUUCUUGCUGCGUAUGUACGUCAUCAUGAUGAUCAUUCGUGAGUUCCUUUAGGGUCGAACAUUAAGGAAAACUCUAAUUAAUCUUAAUACGUUAUCUUUUUCGAAGAAUUUUUGGAAAAUCUGCUUUAGGACUACCAAGUUUCUUUAUGACGAUGGCAUACCGCGAUCGUGAACGUGGUGACAGGAGAGGCGGAGGUGGUUCUCGAGGAGGACGUUUUGGUGGACGAGAUGGAGGCAGUGGUGGUAGUGGUGGAAGAUUUGGAAGUAGUACGAAUAGAGACAGUAACAGUUUUGGGAAUAAUAAUUUUAAAAAUCGUCAACCUGGAGAACGGUUACGUAAACCUAGAUGGGAUAUGAGCACUUUGCAACCAUUUAGGAAAGACUUUUAUCAACCUCAUCCUAAUGUUACAACAAGAAGUCUUCAUACAGUAGAAGCUUAUCGUUCAGACAAAGAGAUUACAGUGAAAGGAUCUAAUGUCCCUGGACCCAACAUUUAUUUUGAAGAGGGUGGUUUUCCAGAUUAUGUUUUAAAUGAAAUACGCAGGCAAGGUUUUGGAGAACCAACAGCUAUACAAGCGCAAGGUUGGCCUAUUGCUUUGUCUGGACGUGAUAUGGUUGGAAUAGCACAAACAGGAUCUGGGAAAACACUAGCUUAUAUUUUGCCAGCUAUCGUACAUAUCAAUCAUCAACCUAGAUUAAGUAGAAACGAUGGUCCUAUAGCUCUUAUCUUGGCACCUACAAGAGAACUUGCACAGCAAAUACAACAAGUAGCAUCAGACUUUGGGGUUUCUUCACAGGUUAGGAAUACUUGCAUUUUUGGUGGGGCACCUAAAGGUCCACAGGCACGAGAUCUGGAAAGAGGAGUUGAAAUUUGUAUAGCAACCCCUGGUCGUCUCAUAGAUUUUUUGGAACGUGGUACCACAAAUCUUCGUAGAUGUACAUAUUUGGUAUUAGAUGAAGCAGACAGAAUGCUCGAUAUGGGCUUCGAACCCCAAAUCAGAAAAAUUGUAGAACAAAUACGACCAGAUAGGCAAACACUUAUGUGGUCAGCAACGUGGCCAAAGGAAGUUCGUAAUUUGGCUGAAGAAUUUUUAACUGAUUAUAUACAAAUUAAUAUUGGCUCCUUACAAUUAGCAGCUAAUCAUAAUAUCCUUCAAAUAGUGGAUGUAUGUGAAGAAUAUGAAAAGGAAAGUAAAUUAAUGAAACUCCUGGAAGAGAUUUCUAAUGAACCAGAAAAUAAAACUAUAAUUUUUGUUGAAACAAAAAGAAAAGUGGAUGACAUUACACGAGCUAUUAAUAGAUACGGAUGGCAAGCAAUUGGCAUCCAUGGAGAUAAGAGUCAACAAGAAAGAGAUUAUGUAUUAAAUCAAUUCCGGAAUAGCAGAUCUGCAAUACUAGUUGCUACGGACGUUGCAGCAAGAGGUUUAGCAAAUAACAAAAAGAAAUCCUUGAUGCUAAACAUGCAAUGGAGUAUACAUGGAAUUGAGUGGAGUGCGCAUAUGGUGCUCAUCCAAUGUUCAAACUUUACCGAAGCAAUGCACAAGGACCAAAUUUUCAAAGACCAGCACAGAUCCAUACUUUGGUGCGGGAGAGAAGGGUGUGAAGUUACUAAGAAUAAAUGUAGAGCUCGCUCACUCAUUAAGCGAGAAUUCUAUGAGAACCAUCUGAGCUCUGAUUCCUCUACAUUUCCAAAAAUGUAUUUACAUUUCCAGCUUUAGACGCAAACAGAUGUGGAAGAUGUCAAAUUUGUGAUAAACUUGGAUUAUCCAUCCAACUCUGAAGACUAUGUACAUCGUAUUGGACGUACGGGACGAUCGCAACGAACAGGAACUGCGUAUGCUUUUUUUACACCUGGAAAUGCGCAUAAAGCUAGCGACCUAAUUCAAGUGUUAGAAGAAGCAAAGCAAGUUGUUAAUCCUAAACUUUAUGAACUUUCGAGAAAUCCCGGCAUUUAUAAACGUGGUCGUUACAGUGGUCGUAAUGGCGGAAAUGGUAGCCGAGGAUCCGGUGGCCGUGGUGGAGGUGGUUCACGAGGAUCACGUGGUGGUGGGCGUGAUGGAGGUGACAGAAGUGGGAGAUUUGAUCGUAGUGGUGGUAGUGGCAGUGGCGGUGGUGGUGGAAGCGAUCGUGGAAAUAAAUGGGGUGGAAGUAAUAGCGGUGGUAUGGGAGGAGGUGGUUAUGGCAGUAAAUCAUUUCCUCAGAGUAACUUUGGAGGAACUUCCAGUGGUAGUGGCUCUAGUUAUAGUCAAAA
rnacentral:misc_RNA from 1 species